UACGAAGGGGGCUAGCGUUGCUCGGAAUCACUGGGCGUAAAGCGCACGUAGGCGGAUCUUUAAGUCAGGGGUGAAAUCCUGGAGCUCAACUCCAGAACUGCCUUUGAUACUGGGGAUCUCGAGUCCGGGAGAGGUGAGUGGAACUGCGAGUGUAGAGGUGAAAUUCGUAGAUAUUCGCAAAGAACACCAGUGGCGAAGGCGGCUCACUGGCCCGGUACUGACGCUGAGGUGCGAAAGCGUGGGGAGCAAACAGG
rnacentral:rRNA from 1 species